CGGCGCUGGCGAAGAGCUGCUGCGCGGUGAGGCCGGCCUCGGACACGUAGCGGGUGCUGCCGCUGAUCAGGUUCAAGGAGUACAUGUGCAAGUUUUCAAGUUUUUUACCUGGUUAAUCACAAACAUCUAUAACUACCAAACACAGCUUCUGAACAGCAUUGAGUGUUUGUCAUUCUACCCUGAAAUAAUGUGAUUACAACAGAAGCAAGGGAUCAACUCCCAAAUAAACUACCUGUACCCAAGUUCUUGUCUCAAG
rnacentral:lncRNA from 10 species